AAUGAACGUUGGCGGCGUGGAUUAGGCAUGCAAGUCGAGCGAGAAACCAAUUAGCUUGCUAUGAGGUGGACAGCGGCGAAAGGGAGAGUAACGCGUGGUUACGUGCCCUCGGGACUGGGAUAGCGUCGGGAAACUGGCGGUAAUACCGGAUAAUAUCUUUGGAUCAAAUGGUGAGAUUCCGCCCGAGGAUCGGACCGCGUACUAUUAGCUUGUUGGCGGGGUAAUGGCCCACCAAGGCUGCGAUGGUUACCGGGUGUGAGAGCAUGGCCCGGCUCACUGGGACUGAGACACUGCCCAGACAUCUACGGAUGGCUGCAGUCGAGAAUCUUCGGCAAUGGACGAAAGUCUGACCGAGCGACGCCGCGUGCGGGAUGAAGGCCCUCGGGUUGUAAACCGCUGUCAGUUAGGAGGAAAUCCAUGGGGGUUCUCCCUCAUGGUUGACCGAUUUUCAGAGGAAGGACGGGCUAAGUUCGUG
rnacentral:rRNA from 1 species